UGGGCUAUGUAAAAAUUAGAGAGAAAGAGUGUUGGGGUGUGGAGAUAUAAUAGACACAAAACUAGGUGUCUGGGUUACAGCAAAGAGAAGAAGAAGAGGGACUUCUUCUAUGGUUGCUGAGUUCACCUCUUUCCUUCCUCCAUCUAUGAGUUUUCUGAGAGUGUCUCAUAUCUAAAACUUCUUGUCCUACUUCUCAUCUUUGAAAGAGUCUAAAUCAAGAAGGAGACAUCUGAUCGACCAUCGAAGAAUGAUCAGCACAGUACUAGCAUACUGUGCUGAUUUUCUAGAUCAGGACUUCUAAUCAUGAUUCAUGGAUCGUGUGGAUGACUCCUAGAGGCCGGAUACAUAUGUAGCUUGCAACAUCAUUCUCAAGCAUAGAUCAGCAAAGUUAAAACGUCUAACUUGCAAGGUAUUAGAUCUGAUCUAUUAUAUUUACAUACAUUAGAUGUAGUAUAGAAACAUGUUGAUAUGAUCAACAUGUAGUUCUUGCUCUUUAUAUUUUAAUUUUUGAUUUAAUAUCAUAUAAUAAUCAUGUAGUAGGAUCUUAGAUCUAGGGAUUCUCUAAUUUUAUAAGACAAAUUUUGAUUUAUUUUAGUCUUCCGCUGCCUGAUCUUGAAAAAGUUUCAAGAUCUAACCCUGAAACUCUAGAUCUGGUUCCUUCAGACACUUUAUAUGUGUAUGAUGUGUUCUCUAAAAUGCUUCAUAAAUCUUAUUGUCUCAUUCUGAAAAAUAUCUUAGAAAUUAUUGUAUAUGUUAGAUAUCAUCAAAAUCUGUUACUAGC
rnacentral:lncRNA from 1 species